rnacentral:rRNA from 1 species
CCUACGGGUGGCAGCAGUGGGGAAUCUUUCACAAUGGGCGAAAGCCUGAUGCAGCAACGCCGCGUGCGGGAAGAAGGCCUUCGGGUUGUAAACUGCUUUUAUCAGCGAGAAAUAUGCUGGUAACUUAUGAAUAAGGAUCGGCUAACUACGUGCCAGCCGCCGUGGUCAUACGUAGGAUCCGGGCAUUAUCCGGAGUGACUGGGGGUAAAGGGCGUGCAGCAGGGAAGACAAGUCAGAUGUGAAAUCCCGCGGCGCAACCGCGGAACUGCAUGUGAAACUGUUUGGCUUGAGUACCGGAGAGGUCAGCGGAAUUCCUUGUGUAGCGGUGAAAUGCGUAGAUAUAAGGAAGAACACCAGUGGCGAAGGCGGAUGACUGGACGGCAACUGACGGUGAGGCGCGAAAGCGUGGGGAGCAAACAGGAUUAGAUACCCUUGUAGUC